UUUUACCUUUGCCAAAAGUGUGUACAAAGGCACCAGAUCCUGUCUGAUCUUGGAAACUAAGAAGGGCCAUUUCUGAUUUGUACUUGGAUAGGAAGCCGCCAAUGAAUACCAGGUGCUGUAAAAU
rnacentral:rRNA from 11 species